GACGAACGCUGGCGGCGUGCCUAAUACAUGCAAGUUGAGCGCUGAAGGUUGGUACUUGUACCGACUGGAUGAGCAGCGAACGGGUGAGUAACGCGUGGGGAAUCUGCCUUUGAGCGGGGGACAACAUUUGGAAACGAAUGCUAAUACCGCAUAAAAACUUUAAACACAAGUUUUAAGUUUGAAAGAUGCAAUUGCAUCACUCAAAGAUGAUCCCGCGUUGUAUUAGCUAGUUGGUGAGGUAAAGGCUCACCAAGGCGAUGAUACAUAGCCGACCGGGGAGGGGGAUCGGCCACAUUGGGACUGAGACACGGCCCAAACUCCGACGGGAGGCAGCAAUAGGGAAUCUUCGGCAAUGGACGAAAGUCUGACCGAGCAACGCCGCGUGAGUGAAGAAGGUUUUCGGAUCGUAAAACUCUGUUGGUAGAGAAGAACGUUGGUGAGAGUGGAAAGCUCAUCAAGUGACGGUAACUACCCAGAAAGGGACGGCUAACUACGUGCCAGCAGCCGCGGUAA
rnacentral:rRNA from 1 species